GAGUUGCCUCCAGAACUCAUUGUGGAUGCUCCAACACUGGAAGAGAUGGGACAACCAUUUGUUUGAAAUGGAAUAGGAUUUCCUGCCUGAGCAGGGGGUUGGAUUAGAAGACCUCCAAGGUCCCUGUGUUAUUUUGUUAUAUCCCAACUUCUCUCUAAGUUAAGAAUAAAUAAAACCACCACUAUUUCAUCUGGAGACAAAAUUCUGGCCACCAGGAAUAUGCUGGCCUUUGGUCUAAUCAAGGAGGACUCUGAUAUCUACCUGUAGACAUAUUAAAGAAUAAAAUAUUGACCGUC